UAGUAUUCUAAUACAAUGUCUAAUAGCUAGGUCGGUGACUUCUCUUUACGUUUUCAGAUUUUUCUACAAUUGUCUAGUUCAAGUGUUGGCAAUCUUCCAUGGGCUGGUCUUCAUUCCCUUGGGCUGUGGGCUGGUGGUGAUGUUUUAACAGAGCAUGCAACGCACCAAGACCUUGAACUCCUCUUUGACUGCUUCGAAGAUGUCCACCACUCUGCUCCAGCGCAACCUUGUUAACGAUUUAUAUGUUACACGCACUGAACGUUGCGACUCAUCAACUGUUAUUUGGGCUCUCUUAACACCUAAUAUAGCUGGCAAUGUUGAAUUACGGAGAACAGAAAUUCAAAGAUCAUGUCACAACUGAUGACAACCAAAUUUUUACCUGUAUUAUGCUAACUUUGUAUGACCAGAAUUGUAUGGUUUGUCUACAAUGCCUAGAUUAUAACUGCUAAACUUUUCCUCCAGGCUCUGCCUUUGCUUUCUCAAGCACUUGAGAAUGAAGACUUUAAAGGGUUGGCAGAUCCAAGGCUGGAAAAGAAUUAUGUUGAGAAUGAAAUGUUUCGAAUGAUUGAGGCGGCUUCAGCUUGUGUGCGUCAUUAAGCUGCGAAAAGGCCAUGGAUGAGACAGGUGGUAAGGGCUUUUGACUCCUUAGAUGAAUUAUCAGAUCUCAGUAACGGAAUGAAACCUGGACAAAGUGAAAUUUUUGAUUCCGCACAACAAUCUGCA